UUAUGGGCUUUGCCUGGAAGAGUUGGGAGUUGCAAUUUACAAGUAUUAAUCAGCUCUAGGCAUUUCUGUCCAGAGCCCAUGAAGGAACAGUAUGUGACCAAACCCAGAGGAGACGGUGUGCUUGGGAAUUUGGACUAUCCCUCCUAAUUCCAAACUCAAUGUAUAAAUUCUGAUAUUUUUCCCUCCCAAGGUCCCUAUAUGGAUAAUUUGGGCAAUUAGUUUUGCUAUUUCGAAGAUUUUCUUUCAUACCCAUCUCUUCAAACCGGCAAAACCAAAGUAUUGAUAUUAACAGAUUCAGGAAAAAAGGUUUUUUUUUCUAUUUAAUUGGUUUUUUUUUUAAGAAAUCUCUCUUUUCGUAAAGCUUUGUUACCGCUUCGAUGAAUCCUUACGACCGAAGAUACGGAGACCCCGAAUCUUACCGUCAGCGAAGGAGUGAUUUCAUGGGCCAACCGCCUCCGGUAGGCCUACCAGCUAUGGGCCCGGGAAUGGUUCCGCCAGCUGGUGCUACCUCUUAUCCCCGCGGAGGAAACGUUUCUUACGGAGGCCCACCGACUGCGCAGCCGCCGACUUUUCAGGGAAGAGUGUCCGGAGCCAUCCCAGGUGCAAGAAAUUUCGAUACGUACCCGAGCUUCCAACCACUCGCGGGAAGAUUAGAGAUGGGCCGCGGUGGGGGCAUGGGUAAUGGUCAUGUUGGAGACAGGAGAAGCGACGGGGCGAGAGGUCGUGGUGGCGGCUUCAGAGGUGGUGGAGGUGGUCGUGAUGGCCGUGGUGGUGGUGGUGGGAGGGGUUAUGGGGGAAGGCACGGAGGGUCGUCUAGAGGGGAUUUAGACAAUGUUUCGCUUCCAAGGCAAAAUUUUGGAAAUUUGGUUCCUUUUGAGAAGAACUUUUAUGUUGAGAGUCCUGCAGUUAGAGGAAUGUCAGAGCAAGAAGCUAUGGUUUAUCGUAAAACACGGGACAUUACAGUUCAAGGGCAUGAUGUUCCAAAGCCAAUAAGGAUGUUCCAUGAAGCCAAUUUUCCUGAUUAUUGUCUUGAGGUGAUUGCUAGAUUGGGUUUUGUUGAACCAACGCCAAUUCAGGCUCAAGGGUGGCCUAUGGCUUUGAAGGGUAGGGAUUUAAUUGGCAUUGCUGAGACUGGUUCUGGUAAAACGCUGGCAUAUUUGCUACCGGCAUUGGUGCAUGUUAACGCACAGCCACGAUUGGCGCACGGUGACGGUCCUAUUGUAUUAAUAUUAGCACCUACAAGGGAGUUGGCUGUUCAGAUUCAAGAAGAAGCUGCAAAGUUUGCGACUCAUGCUAAUAUCAGAAGCACUUGCAUCUAUGGUGGUGCUCCUAAAGGACCACAAAUUCGGGAUCUUAAAAGAGGUGUCGGGAUUGUAAUUGCUACACCUGGUCGACUGAUAGACAUGCUAGAAGCUCAACACACAAACUUGCAAAGAGUGACUUACCUUGUUCUGGAUGAGGCUGAUCGAAUGUUGGAUAUGGGGUUUGAGCCUCAAAUAAGAAAAAUUGUUGCUCAGAUUCGGCCUGACAGGCAAACAUUGUACUGGAGUGCAACAUGGCCAAGGGAGGUUGAGUCUCUAGCAAGGCAGUUUUUACGCAGUCCAUAUAAGGUUAUCAUUGGAUCACCUGAUCUUAAAGCAAACCAAUCUAUAAACCAAGUUGUUGAAGUCGUAACAGAGCUGGAAAAGUACAACAGGCUAAUCAAAUUGCUCAAGGAAGUGAUGGAUGGGAAUCGAAUACUCAUAUUCAUGGAGACAAAGAAGGGAUGCGACCAAGUUACUAGGCAGCUGAGAAUGGAUGGAUGGCCUGCACUAUCCAUCCAUGGUGAUAAAAACCAGUCUGAAAGAGAUUGGGUCCUGGCUGAAUUUAAGAGUGGCAGAAGUCCCAUAAUGACUGCCACUGAUGUGGCUGCCCGGGGUCUUGGUAGGAUCACUGUGUGUUCGGAGUCUUAGUAUAUUCAUGUAGGUUUUGAAAUGGUGAAGAUAAGCGAGUCUGCCAGCUGCUGUCCAGUUCCCUGAGAAAAUAAUUUGUGGCUUAGGUGCAAAGGAGGUGCCAUGAUGUGCAUAAAGAAUCUGUGAACAUAUAUGUCUUUUAACUCAUAAGCAUGAUCCUCCACUUAAAGGGAAUUAUGAGUUGGAUUGAGGGACAUUGUGGUUUCUCAUAUUCACUAGAUGUACCCUAACAUAAUUGGCUACUACCUUAUGCUUAUAGCUCAUGUUACAUGGACACAGGGAGCACAGUUUGCCUAGCUGAGCCAGUAAUCUAUAAUUUUUGGGUGGUGUACUGUGAAAACUCAGGCUACUCUGUUCCUUUGUUCAGAAAAUUUGUAUUUCCUGAUUUUAAGUUUGGGGAAAAGAAAAUUAGAAAGCUCUCUUAUGUGUGGUUAUGUAUUUGCUUGAAUUGUCUGAAUUGGCAUGGCUCCUAUAAUCAAGUGUCUAAGUAACAUAGUUGAAGUUGAAGUUAGUGUCGCCUACCCACGGUUAUGGAGCUGGUUUUUUGUGGCAGCCUGGUUGACUCACAUUUGCUUAUGUUCCCUGAUUGGAUGCGAAAAUGGUGGUGGUGAAGCUGCUCCUUAUCCCUGCAAGGUUAAGAUGUGAAGGACAUAAAAUGUGUGAUCAACUAUGAUUUUCCUUCCAGCCUGGAGGAUUAUGUACAUAGGAUUGGUCGAACUGGUCGAGCAGGGGCUAAGGGAACUGCUUUUACCUUCUUCACGCAGGCAAAUGCAAAGUAUGC